CCUACGGGCGGCAGCAGUAGGGAAUCUUCCACAAUGGACGAAAGUCUGAUGGAGCAACGCCGCGUGAGUGAAGAAGGGUUUCGGCUCGUAAAGCUCUGUUGGUAGUGAAGAAAGAUAGAGGUAGUAACUGGCCUUUAUUUGACGGUAAUUACUUAGAAAGUCACGGCUAACUACGUGCCAGCAGCCGCGGUAAUACGUAGGUGGCAAGCGUUGUCCGGAUUUAUUGGGCGUAAAGCGAGUGCAGGCGGUUCAAUAAGUCUGAUGUGAACGCCUUCGGCUCAACCGGAGAAUUGCAUCAGAAACUGUUGAACGUGAGUGCAGAAGAGGAGAGUGGAACUCCAUGUGUAGCGGUGGAAUGCGUAGAUAUAUGGAAGAACACCAGUGGCGAAGGCGGCUCUCUGGUCUGCAACUGACGCUGAGGCUCGAAAGCAUGGGUAGCGAACAGGAUUAGAUACCCUUGUAGUC
rnacentral:rRNA from 1 species